CAGUCGCCGCGGUAAUACAGAGGGUGCGAGCGUUAAUCGGAUUUACUGGGCGUAAAGCGUGCGUAGGCGGCUUCUUAAGUCGGAUGUGAAAUCCCUGAGCUUAGCUUAGGAAUUGCAUUCGAUACUGGGAAGCUAGAGUAUGGGAGAGGAUGGUAGAAUUCCAGGUGUAGCGGUGAAAUGCGUAGAGAUCUGGAGGAAUACCGAUGGCGAAGGCAGCCAUCUGGCCUAAUACUGACGCUGAGGUACGAAAGCAUGGGGAGCAAACAGGAUUAGAUACCCCCGUAGUCCCUGUCUCUUAUAC
rnacentral:rRNA from 1 species